rnacentral:rRNA from 1 species
AGAGUUUGAUCAUGGCUCAGAGCGAACGCUGGCGGCGUACUUAACACAUGCAAGUCGAACGAGGAUCAUCGGGUUAGCAAUAAUUCGGUGGUCCUAGUGGCGUACGGGUGAGUAACACGUGGGUAACCUGCCCUCGAGUCCGGGAUACCCUCUCGAAAGGGAGGCUAAUACUGGAUACGUUCCCUGGGGCGCAAGACCUGGGGAGGAAAGGUAGCGAAAGCUGCCGCUCUUGGAGGGGCUCGCGGCCUAUCAGCUAGUUGGUGAGGUAACGGCUCACCAAGGCUAUGACGGGUAGCUGGUCUGAGAGGACGACCAGCCACACGGGAACUGAGACACGGUCCCGACUCCUACGGGAGGCAGCAGUGGGGAAUUUUCCGCAAUGGGCGAAAGCCUGACGGAGUGACGCCGCGUGGGGGACGAAGGCCUUCGGGUCGUAAACCCCUGUCAGAGGGAAAGAAGGGUGCUGGCGUGAAUAGCGCCGGCAUCUGACGGUACCUUCAGAGGAAGCCCCGGCCAACUCUGUGCCAGCAGCCGCGGUAAGACAGAGGGGGCAAGCGUUGCUCGGAAUCACUGGGCGUAAAGGGCGCGUAGGCGGGAUGGCAAGUCGGUCGUGAAAUCCUUCGGCUCAACCGAAGAACGUCGGCCGAUACUGCCGUUCUUGAGGGAUGCAGAGGAGAUUGGAAUUCCCGGUGUAGCGGUGAAAUGUGUAGAGAUCGGGAGGAACACCGGUGGCGAAGGCGGGUCUCUGGGCAUCUCCUGACGCUGAGGCGCGAAAGCGUGGGGAGCAAACGGGAUUAGAUACCCCCGUAGUCC